UCGGAAGUUUAUUUUAUCGGAAAUAUAUUCAUCUCGGGACCGCGUGUGAUAGUCGUGUGCUUCAAGUGUAUUACCAUCAGUGUAGUUUCGUGUUCGGUACUUUAGUUUCGUGUUCGGUACUUUAGUUUCGUGUUCGGUACUUUAGUUUCGUGUUCGGUACUUUAUUUUCGUGUUCGGUACUUUAUUUUCGUGUUCGGUACUUCAUUAUUAAAAUUUAUCUCAGUGAUUAUUUCGUGAAUAUAGAAGGUGCAGUGAAUAGUUGAACAGCCUUACUUUCCGCAAGUUUUCUAUCCGCCGAAAGUUUUCGUCAGCGAGCCUCUACUUUUUCUGUCCAGUGGAAUAGUUUGCCGUGUUUUACAAUAAGUUGAGUUACUAUUUGUCACUCGUGUCGUUUGUCAUUGUGCGAAUUUUCGGAAGUGUUUAUUCUGUGAUUGUUUUUAUGAAAUUUGAUUUGAGGAUAUCGUUUCGGAAGUCACUUUGCUCACGUGUAUUCCUCAGCGUUGAUUCGCCAACAUUCGAGAAGGCGAUGAACGAGGAUGGAAAUCUUCACCCUACGCAUCAGAGCUGUUCCUGACCUUGCAGAUCAUCGCUUCUUCACGAGUGCCUCGUGUCUUUGGAAGAAUUUUUGACGAGCCGGGGUCUAAAAGUGCGUCGUGGUGGAAAUUAACUGUUAAACCUUGUUAGGUUAUCGACUGCUUUACUUCCUUCUUGCCUUCAAUCUGGUGAAGAUUGAGCAGAGAGCGCCGAGAGCGGUCUGAGUCAAUGUUACUUAAUUUGAACUAAA